GUUUUGGUGGAGCUCCCGGAGUUUUGCAAGCGUAGCGGGCUUGCUACCUGCAGCCUACGGUACCAUUUACAGGUACGAGUCAUUUUUGAAGCUGAAUGGAUUUGAGCAACGUGAAAUAAAGUGUAUUUCUCAAGGGCACAACACACUGCCAGGAAUCCACCUCUGGACUGUGAACCGAAUACGCUGAGUACUAACCACUCGCCUUCGCAGGUUAUAAAAGUUAUGAUUUCGUGAAGGUACUCAGCAUCUUAAUUUAUUCUCAAUGUUGAUUGAAAAAUGUCUACAGAUUAAACGUCGCUAGAUAAUGUCACUAA